UUGACGAAUUAAAUAUUAGUGGCGUUUAUUCUCAAAACGCCGUAAAUGUUGUAAAAUUAGUGGCGUUUGAUUGUAAGCGCCGUAAAAGUUGGAAUCGACAACGGUGUCGUUUUAAACAUAUUUUAGUUUUCAACUAAAUCCCCGCCCCCAGCACCAAAUCCCCAAUCUGUCGAAAUCCCUAAUCCUUUUUUCUAUCUGCGAUUUCUUACAUGCGAUUCUUCAAUUGAAAAGCUUCGGUGUUCCGUUGUUCGGUUUCUUGCAAAUUUAUAAGGAUUAUUUACCUUCAUUGUUUCGGAUUCUUGCUAACUCACAUAACCCAGUCAAAGAAGACGGAGAAGGUGGGCAGACAUUCGGAUUCUGUCGUCGGGGGAAACAGUAUUUAAGGGUUUUCAAUCGUUUCAUUUUUCUUCAUCGUUGCGAAGGGAUUGAUGGCCAUAUCAAUGUAAUAGGCAAAAGAAUCUUGAGGAGACCUCUUUUUUGUUUGUUUGAAGUUGUCAUGAAUAUUUAAUAUGAUAGAAGAAUAAGUAUAAUGUGAUCUUACCAUAUUUGAUCUCCAUUUGAAUUCUCAUGUGUUCGGUUUUCUUUGUUGAAAAUCAAUUAACUUCGAUUGGUAACAGUUCUUUUAGCUUAGAAAGGAUUAUGAACAUAGAAUUUUCCAUUUAUCAUGUUUUUUUCUGCAGCAGCUUCGUGCAAAAAACGCAAUCAUAUAAUUAAUUGAAAAGAACUAUGAGUUUUUUAAAAACAUAGGACUAUGACUUUUGAUUUUUUAUUUCACAUAUGAAAAGAACUAAUGUUAUAAACAAUGGGGUAAUUUUUUUGACAUUUUUGAAGGUUUUUAUUUCACCAAUUCGGGGUUAUAAAUAAUUAAUUUA